rnacentral:rRNA from 1 species
UACGGGAGGCAGCAGUGGGGAAUAUUGCACAAUGGGCGAAAGCCUGAUGCAGCUAUGCCGCGUGUAUGAAGAAGGCCUUAGGGUUGUAAAGUACUUUCAUCGGGGAGGAAAAAACAAAACUAAUAAUUUUAUUUCUUGACGUUACCCGAAAAAGAAGCACCGGCUAACUCCGUGCCAGCAGCCGCGGUAAUACGGAGGGUGCUAGCGUUAAUCAGAAUUACUGGGCGUAAAGAGCACGUAGGUGGUUUUUUUAAGUCAGAUGUGAAAUCCCUGGGCUUAACCUAGGAACUGCAUUUUGAAACUGAAAUACUAGAGUAUCGUAGAGGGAGGUAGAAUUCUAGGUGUAGCGGUGAAAUGCGUAGAUAUCUGGAGGAAUACCUGUGGCGAAAGCGGCCUCCUAAACGAAUACUGACACUGAGGGUGCGAAAGCGUGGGGAGCAAAACGAGGGAUUAGAUA